rnacentral:rRNA from 1 species
CGCCGCGGUAAACCCGCUCUCCGAGUGGUGGGGACGUUUAUUGGGCCUAAAGCAUCCGUAGCCGGCUGGGCAAGUCCCCUGUUAAAUCCAGCGAUUCAAUCGCUGGACUGCGGGGGAUACUGCCCGGCUAGGGGGCGGGAGAGGCCGACGGUAUUUCCGGGGUAGGGGUGAAAUCCUAUAAUCCCGGAAGGACCACCAGUGGCGAAGGC